rnacentral:rRNA from 1 species
UACGUAGGGGGCAAGCGUUGUCCGGAUUUACUGGGCGUAAAGAGCGUGUAGGCGGCCACGCAGGUCCGUUGUGAAAACUGGAGGCUCAACCUCCAGCUGUCGACGGAAACCGUGUGGCUAGAGUCCGGAAGAGGAGAGUGGAAUUCCUGGUGUAGCGGUGAAAUGCGCAGAUAUCAGGAAGAACACCUAUGGCGAAGGCAGCUCUCUGGGACGGUACUGACGCUGAGGGACGAAAGCGUGGGGAGCAAACAGG